CUAAAAGCUACUACAUACGUGAAUGCUUUUGCAGGAUCUGUCAAAGAUUCUAUUGUAGGUGAAGAGCGCAUUGCUCAAUACUUGUUGGCUGUUUUAAAUACUCGAGCCACUCCACUUCAUUGGAGACACUGGAAUAACAGAAUAAUGGAAGGGAUUCGGUAUGAAUCUCGUGAUAAACAUGAAUACAAACUGAAAGAUCUUCGGCCAAAGAGGAAGAAGCUACCAAAUGUGUCUGAUGUGCUGUACGUUGAGGAUCUUGCUAACUGAAGUCAAAAAUUGCCCUGUACAAAAAGUCUUGAGGAAUUCAAUGGUAAUGUUGGAAGACGAGAAUGAUUUGGGAGAAUCCUUACUAGAACAGAGAAACAGCAGUUUGAAGUGCUGCAGUAAGGCAUUGAGGAUACCUCAUAAGGCAUUCUGAAGCUCGUUUGAUGGUAUCCAAGAAGUUAUCUAACUCUAUUUAGGACAGGUAAACUUAAGAAGAUCCUAUCAUCCUUGACGAUGUUCCUUGAUGAUACAUUCAUGUAUCGUAGAAUCUGCAUUAGAAUAUCCCUUAAAAAUUAA